AAGGCCCUGCUUUUGUGGGGUGCUCGAGUGGCGAACGGGUGAGUAACACGUGAGUAACCUGCCCUUGACUUUGGGAUAACUUCAGGAAACUGGGGCUAAUACCGGAUAGGAGCUCCUGCUGCAUGGUGGGGGUUGGAAAGUUUCGGCGGUUGGGGAUGGACUCGCGGCUUAUCAGCUUGUUGGUGGGGUAGUGGCUUACCAAGGCUUUGACGGGUAGCCGGCCUGAGAGGGUGACCGGCCACAUUGGGACUGAGAUACGGCCCAGACUCCUACGGGAGGCAGCAGUGGGGAAUAUUGCACAAUGGGCGGAAGCCUGAUGCAGCAACGCCGCGUGCGGGAUGACGGCCUUCGGGUUGUAAACCGCUUUCGCCUGUGACGAAGCGUGAGUGACGGUAAUGGGUAAAGAAGCACCGGCUAACUACGUGCCAGCAGCCGCGGUGAUACGUAGGGUGCGAGCGUUGUCCGGAUUUAUUGGGCGUAAAGGGCUCGUAGGUGGUUGAUCGCGUCGGAAGUGUAAUCUUGGGGCUUAACCCUGAGCGUGCUUUCGAUACGGGUUGACUUGAGGAAGGUAGGGGAGAAUGGAAUUCCUGGUGGAGCGGUGGAAUGCGCAGAUAUCAGGAGGAACACCAGUGGCGAAGGCGGUUCUCUGGGCCUUUCCUGACGCUGAGGAGCGAAAGCGUGGGGAGCGAACAGGCUUAGAUACCCUGGUAGUCCACGCUGUAAACGGGUGGGUACUAGGUGUGGGGUCCAUUCCACGGGUUCCGUGCCGUAGCUAACGCUUUAAGUACCCCGCCUGGGGAGUACGGCCGCAAGGCUAAAACUCAAAGGAAUUGACGGGGCCCCGCACAAGCGGCGGAGCAUGCGGAUUAAUUCGAUGCAACGCGUAGAACCUUACCUGGGUUUGACAUGGAUCGGGAGCGCUCAGAGAUGGGUGUGCCUCUUUUGGGGUCGGUUCACAGGUGGUGCAUGGCUGUCGUCAGCUCGUGUCGUGAGAUGUUGGGUUAAGUCCCGCAACGAGCGCAACCCUUGUUCACUGUUGCCAGCACGUUAUGGUGGGGACUCAGUGGAGACCGCCGGGGUCAACUCGGAGGAAGGUGGGGAUGACGUCAAGUCAUCAUGCCCCUUAUGUCCAGGGCUUCACGCAUGCUACAAUGGCUGGUACAGAGAGUGGCGAGCCUGUGAGGGUGAGCGAAUCUCGGAAAGCCGGUCUCAGUUCGGAUUGGGGUCUGCAACUCGACCUC
rnacentral:rRNA from 1 species